rnacentral:rRNA from 1 species
GACGAACGCUGGCGGCGUGCCUAAUACAUGCAAGUCGAACGCAGUGGGGACGGGUGAGUAACAAGUGGGUAACCUCCCAUCAGAGGGGAUAACACUUGGAAACAGGUGCUAAACCGACACUGAUGGAUAAACCCGCGGUGAAUUAGCUAGUUGGUGAGGUAACGGAUCACCAAGGCCACGAUGACUAAACAACUUGAGAGGGUUAUGGGCACCACUGGGACUGAGACACGGCCCAGACUCCUACGGGAGGCAGCAGUAGGGAAUCUUCGACAAUGGACGAAAGUCGGACCGAGCAAAGCCGCGUGAGUGAAGAAGGUGUUCGGAUCGUAAAACUCUGUUUUUAGAGAAGCGGUAUCUAACCAGAAAGCCACGGCUAACUACGUGCCAGCAGCCGCGGUAAUUC